ACAGCGACUCUGACAAUCCUCGUGAACGAGGGGGGCAUCGACAUCAGCCUAAUACAGGAGCCCUGGGUCAAUGAAGAUUCCAUAAAAGGGCUAAACAGCAGCAAUUAUAACCUGUUUUACACACGGAACAGAGCACAGCAGAUAUCACAGUGGUGAAGGUGGAACAGAUGGAAAAGCCCUUCUUCUUGGUCUCGGCCUACUUGGCCCAUGACGAAGACAUACCACCGGCCCCGCUCACCAGGCUAGUAGAGGAGAACAAGAAGGAUGAUGUCCUAAUAGAGUGUGAUGCAAAUGCAAGGCACACCGUAUGGGGUAGCUCCAGUAUAAACACCAGGGGAUCUUGAGGCGUUGAUGUAUCAAGUAGAAAAGGACAGGUUCAACAGUCUUACCAAGUUUUCAAUCUAAUGGUAGACAACUCUCGCGGUAAAAUGCCUUCAACCUUUAUACCAUCAUCUGCUAGACGUUCCGUCCCAAACGGCUACUUGGAUUCAGAGUUCAAGAUGGACGUGGACAUGCCUACAAUUCCAACUCCAACUGUUCGGUCGGCCAGCAACGGGGCACGUAUUGGGCCUACUCCUCCGCCCCGCUCAACC